rnacentral:rRNA from 1 species
GAUGAACGCUGGCGGCGUGCCUAAUACAUGCAAGUCGAGCGAACAGACGAGAAGCUUGCUCCUCUGAGGUUAGCGGCGGACGGGUGAGUAACACGUGGAUAACCUACCUAUAAGACUGGGAUAACUUCGGGAAACCGGAGCUACUACCGGAUAAUAUAUUGAACCGCAUGGUUCAAGAGUGAAAGACGGUUUUCCUGUCACUUAUAGAUGGAUCCGCGCUGCAUUAGCUAGUUGGUAAGGUAACGGCUUACCUAGGCAACGAUGCGUAGCCGACCUGAGAGGGUGAUCGGCCACACUGGAACUGAGACACGGUCCAGACUCCUACGGGAGGCAGCAGUAGGGAAUCUUCCGCAAUGGGCGAAAGCCUGACGGAGCAACGCCGCGUGAGUGAUGAAGGUCUUCGGAUCGUAAAACUCUGUUAUUAGGGAAGAACAAAUGUGUAAGUAACUAUGCACGUCUUGACGGUACCUAAUCAGAAAGCCACGGCUAACUACGUG